rnacentral:rRNA from 1 species
CGUGGGUGGCAAGCGUUGUCCGGAAUUAUUGGGCGUAAAGCGCGCGCAGGCGGCUUCUUAAGUCCAUCUUAAAAGUGCGGGGCUUAACCCCCGUGAUGGGAUGGAAACUGAGAGGCUGGAGUAUCGGAGAGGAAAGUGGAAUUCCUAGUGUAGCGGUGAAAUGCGUAGAGAUUAGGAAGAACACCGGUGGCGAAGGCGACUUUCUGGACGACAACUGACGCUGAGGCGCGAAAGCGUGGGGAGCAA